rnacentral:rRNA from 1 species
UUAGUCCUGGCUACAGGAGUCGAACGCUGGCGGCGUGCUUAACACAUGCAAGUCGAACGGGGCCGUACCAUUUUUGAAGCUAUUAGCUUGCUAAGAGUGGAAUGUUGGCGGCUAGUGGCGGACGGGUGAGUAACGCGUGGGUAACCUGCCAUAGUACAGGGGGAUAACACUUAGAAAUAGGUGCUAAUACCGCAUAAGCGCACGGAGCUGCAUGGCUCAGUGUGAAAAACUCCGGUGGUAUAUGAUGGACCCGCGUCUGAUUAGCUUGUUGGCGGGGUAACGGCCACCAAGGCGACGAUCAGUAGCCGGCCUGAGAGGGUGGACGGCCACAUUGGGACUGAGACACGGCCCAAACUCCUACGGGAGGCAGCAGUGGGGAAUAUUGGACAAUGGGGGGAACCCUGAUCCAGCGACGCCGCGUGAGUGAAGAAGUAUCUCGGUAUGUAAAGCUCCAUCAGCAGGGAAGAAAGAAAUGACGGUACCUGACCAAGAAGCCCCGGCUAACUACGUG